rnacentral:misc_RNA from 1 species
AAGUCGUAACAAGGUUUCCGUAGGUGAACCUGCGGAAGGAUCAUUAUCCAUCUCAAACCAGGUGCGGUCGCGGCCCCCGGGGGCUUGCUCCCGGGUGGUAGGGGUAACACCCUCACGCGCCGCCUGCCUGUACCCUCUUUUUACGAUCACCUUUCGUUCUCCUUCGGCGGGGCAACCUGCCGCUGGAACCAAAACAAAACCUUUUUUGCAUCUAGCAUUACCUGUUCUGAUACAAAUAAUCGUUACAA